AAUGGAGAAGAGCAUAACCUAAAAUGUCAGAAGAGUAGAAGUUAAUAUUUGGAGGGAGAUAUACAUUAUUGGUGUGUAUUCCUGAAGACAUCCAGCUGCAAGUGUUAAAUGCGCAAGCGAUCGGAGUGAAACCCAAAGGAAUGCAGGGAAAAGAAAACCAGUAAAGUGGAAAGCAAGUUCAGAGGAAGAGGAUACAGAGCAGAAAUCAUACUAUUCUCCUUCAGUUUCACCUAAGCAGAG